GACCAAGCCUUCCACACACAGCUAAGAACUGUUCUCCAAACCUUAGCAGUCACCACUGAGAAAUACCGUGGGAAACUGUAUCAUUCUAGUGCCCCGGUCUGAGCCCACCACAUGGACAGCCAGUCGCAAACUGGAGCUGUGGGAUCAAGUUUAAUCCGGUUGUGGAGGUGGGGAAGUGAACAGCAGAGACUCCUCAUGCAGCAAGGACCUGGUACCUCUAGGACAGCAGUGUCCAGAUCGGAAUUCCCUCGUGCACAGGGCCCAGCUUGCCCAACUGUGUGGGAAGCUUCAGUCAACCAUGGCUCCACUUGGAACAUCAGAUCCCACAGGCCAAGACUCCACCCCUCCACAGGAUGGACCUCACUUCACACUUCAGGUCCUGGCUGGUAUUGGUGCUUUGGAUAGAUUUGUAUAAACUGGGAGUGGGUGGGUGGUUAUGCCUUGAAUUUGAGUUCCUCUGAGUAUACUUUGUCAUUUGCUAGAAUUAUUCAUAGAACUCUAAAAGACAUUUUAUAUACAUUGACGUCUUUCUUUUCAAGGGGGCAGCUUUAAGACUGAGCAUGUCGCAAAGGUUCUGAGGGAUAGGGAAGGCUGUCAUGGCCUUGGCAGGCACUACCCUCCACAGCUCCCACAUCUGGAAGUUCUCUGAAUCCUACAGUUCCUCUUUGUUGGUGGUUGCGGGGAAAUAUAAAAAAAUGAACGAGCGAG
rnacentral:lncRNA from 1 species